AGACCAUCCUAGCCAACAUGGUGAAACCCCGUCUCUACUAAAAGUACAAAAAAAUUAGCCGGGCGUGGUGGAGCAUGCCUGUAAUCCCAGCUACUCGGGAGGCAGAGCCAGGAGAAUCCCUUGAAUCAGGGAGUUGGAGGUUGCAGUGAGCCGAGAUCGCGCCACAGCACUCUAGCCUAGCGACAGAGCGAGACUCCGUCUCAAAAAAAAAAAAAAGAUUGUCUUCAUCCAAGCCAGUUUCCAUUUCUUGGACACACAUUGCUGGUCAGCCAAUCAGAUGCUGGUAUUGAGGUGAAAACAGAAACGAUUUCUGCCUCUGGAUUCUCUGAGAUUCGUGGGAAAAAUGGUAUCCCUAAAAAACAAAGCAAGACACAAAAACCUGACCCCGGUGAGAUGGUGCAAGAACUUGCAAAGUAAAAUGCACUUGGAAACUCCCUGGGACAUAGUGCAGUGUCUCCUGAGAGGUCAUAAAAGAGAGAUGGGGUUCUGUCAGGCCUCUGAGCCCAAGCCUGCACAUAUACAUCCAGAUGGCCUGAGGCAACUGAAGAACAAUGAAAGAAGUGAAAAUGGCCAGUUCCUGCCUUAACUGAUGACAAUCCACCAUUGUGAUUUGUUCCUACCCCACCCUGACUGAUCAAUUAACCUUGUGACAUUCCUUCUCCUGGACAAUGAGUCUCAGAAGCUCCCUUACCGAGCACCUUGUAAUCCCCCCCACCCCGCUGCCUGCAAGAGAAAAAUUCCCUUUGACUGUAAUUUUCCACUACCUACCCCAAUCCUAUAAAACUGCCCCACCCCUAUCUCCCUUUGCUGGCUCUGUUUUCAGACUCAGCCCACUUGCACCCAAGUGAAAUAAACAACCUUGUUCCUCACACAAAGCCUGUUGGUGGACUCUCUUCACACAGAUGUGUGUGUCAUUUGGUGCUGAAGACCUGGGACAGGGGGAAUCCUUUGGGAGACUGGUCCCCUGUACUCACCCUCACUCCAUGAGGAGAUCCACCCAUGACCUUUGGUCCUCAGACCAGCCCAAGGAACAUCUCACCAAUUUUAAGUCUGCAGCCACUCCCAGAGCCUCUGGAACUCUGGCCCAAGACUCUCUGACUGACUCCUUCCCAGAUCUUCUCAGCUUAGCAGCUGAAGACUGAUGCCGCCCAACUGCCUUGGAAGCCUCCUAGACCAUCACAGACACUUUGGGUAACUCCUACAGUGGAGGAAGAACCACAAAAGAAGUGAAAAUGUCCAGUUCCUGCCUUAAUUGAUGACAUUCCACCACUGUGAUUUGUUCCUGCCCCACUCUGACUGAUCAAUUAACCUUGUGACCUUCCUUCUCCUGGACAAUGAGUCUCAGAAGCUCCCCCACCAAGCACCUUGUAACCCCCGCCCCUGCCCACAAGAGAAAAACCCCCUUUGACUGUAGUUUUCCACUACCUACCCAAAUUCUAUAAAACUGCCCCACCCCUAUCUCCCUUUGCUGACUCUCUUUUCGGACUCAGCCCACUUGCACCCAAGUGAAAUAAAAAGCCUUGUUGCUCACAC
rnacentral:lncRNA from 10 species